rnacentral:lncRNA from 1 species
AUGUCCCCCACCCCUCUGCCCAACAUCACAAUGGGAAUGCAUAGGGGUAAAGGUGUGUGUGGGGGGGAAUCACAGGUGGUAGAGCUGGAGGGGAGCAGAGUGCUCAGGCCAUUACCAUCCCGCUCUCUCCACUGGCUGAGGAUUUUCCCCACUUUUUCUUCCCCUUUUCCCAGCAACCCAAAAGGAACACUUUCUCCCUUCUCUGUUUGUGAUAAAGGGGGACAGUCAGAAUUCUUUUCUUACUUCUGUAUUAAAUGGAGUUUGAGUCUUCCAUUCUUGGAGCAAGACUCUGCUACAAACUUGGAUUGGAAGAUGACAAAGCAAGGAUGGCAAUGGAAUAUAUACUGCUGUUAAGGAGGAAGGAGUAAUAACAGUUCAUGAGGAAAACAAAACAAAACAAAACAACAAGAAAUUAAAAUGUAAUUCUUGACUCUAUGCAAGAACAUUAAUAAUAUUAAUCUAUAAUCUGGAUUUGUAUAAAUCAGGAUUAAAUAUCUGUCUUUUUUAUCUAAUUUACUAGUGUUGAAAAACUAAUUCAAGUGUUAGUUUACCUUUUUCCUAAAGAUUGGAAGAUGAUAAAGCAAGGAUGGAGAUGGAAUACAUACUACUGUUAAGGAGGAAGGAGUAGUAAUAGUUCAUGAGGAAAACAAAACAAAACAAAACAAGAAGAAAUUAAAAUGUAAUUCGUGACUGUGUGCAAGAACAUUAAUAAUAUUAAUGUAUAAUCUGGAUCUGUAUAAGCACAGAAUAAUAGUGGGAAAAGAGUGCUUAAAGAUUAUCUAGUUCAUAUUCAACAUCACAUCACCCUUGAAUAGUGAUAUCCCUUUCUUAUUAGCUGACUUUUAUUAAUAGAUUUAGGGAAAAAUGUGAGAGAAAUACUUAUAAAGUUAUCUACAAAGAAAACGCGAGAGAAAUACUUUUCAUCCACAGAGAAAAGAAACGCUAAGUAAAUUGUGUUUAACUAUCAUCAUUUGCAGAAUUUAAUUUGGUGACUGUGGAUCAAUUGCAUAUUACCUAAUUUUGGCUUAGAUGGCCUGACUGUGGAAUUCAUUUCCUCAACAUGAG